rnacentral:rRNA from 1 species
UAGGGAAUCUUGGACAAUGGGGAAACCCUGAUCCAGCCAUGCCGCGUGAGUGAAGAAGGCCUUAGGGUCGUAAAACUCUUUCGCCAGGGAAGAUAAUGACGGUACCUGGUAAAGAAACCCCGGCUAACUCUGUGCCAGCAGCCGCGGUAAUACGGAGGGGGUUAGCGUUGUUCGGAAUUACUGGGCGUAAAGCGCACGUAGGCGGGCUGAAAAGUUGGGGUGAAAUCCCGGGACUCAACCCCGGAACUGCUUCAAAAUCAUGACAGCCUAGAGUUCGAGAGAGGUGAGUGGAAUUCCGAGUGUAGAGGUGAAAUUCGUAGAUAUUCGGAGGAACACCAGUGGCGAAGGCGGCUCACUGGCUCGAUACUGACGCUGAGGUGCGAAAGUGUGGGG